rnacentral:rRNA from 1 species
AGUGAACGCUGGCGGUAGGCCUAACACAUGCAAGUCGAACGGCAGCACAGUAAGAGCUUGCUCUUACGGGUGGCGAGUGGCGGACGGGUGAGGAAUACAUCGGAAUCUACUUUUUCGUGGGGGAUAACGUAGGGAAACUUACGCUAAUACCGCAUACGACCUACGGGUGAAAGCAGGGGAUCUUCGGACCUUGCGCGUUUGAAUGAGCCGAUGUCGGAUUAGCUAGUUGGCGGGGUAAAGGCCCACCAAGGCGACGAUCCGUAGCUGGUCUGAGAGGAUGAUCAGACACACUGGAACUGAGACACGGACCAGACUCCUACGGGAGGCAGCAGUGGGGAAUAUUGGACAAUGGGCGCAAGCAUGAUCCAGCAAUACCGCGUGGGUGAAGAAGGCCAUCGGGUUGUAAAGACCUUUUGUUGGGAAAGAAAAGCAGCAGGUUAAUACCCCGCUGUUCUGACGGUACCCAAAGAAUAAGCACCGGCUAACUUCGUG